rnacentral:rRNA from 1 species
UACAGAGGGGGCAAGCGUUGUUCGGAAUUACUGGGCGUAAAGGGCGCGUAGGUGGCCUUCUAAGUUGAACGUGAAAUCCCUGGGCUCAACCCAGGAACUGCGUCCAAGACUGGGAGGCUUGAGUGCGGGAGAGGGAUGUGGAAUUCCUGGUGUAGCGGUGAAAUGCGCAGAUAUCAGGAAGAACACCCGUGGCGAAGGCGGUUCUCUGGGACGGUACUGACGCUGAGACGCGAAAGCGUGGGGAGCGAACAGG